GACAGAGGGUGCAAACGUUGUUCGGAAUUACUGGGCGUAAAGCGCGUGUAGGCUGCUCAGAAAGUUGGAUGUGAAAGCCCUGGGCUUAACCUAGGAAGUGCAUUCAAAACUACUGAGCUGGAGUCCUGGAGAGGAAGGCGGAAUUCUCGGUGUAGAGGUGAAAUUCGUAGAUAUCGAGAGGAACACCGGUGGCGAAGGCGGCCUUCUGGACAGUGACUGACGCUGAGACGCGGAAGCGUGGGGAGCAAACAGG
rnacentral:rRNA from 1 species